GACAUAUGUAUCCAAAAAAUAUACAUAAGCUUAAGGUACUUUGGAAGGAUAUUUUAACAGGACAAUGGAAAGGUCCUGACCCAGUGAUUGUCUGGAGUCGGGGUUCUGUUUGUGUGUUUCCACAGGGAGAACAGCAGCCGAUUUGGAUUCCAGAGAGACUAACCAAAGUGAUUUCUACAGACCAAAAAGAAGAUGAUUUGACUCCAAUCCAUAACAGCUGAUAUCCAGAGCUCCAGCUUGGCUAUUCUUACAUCUGCAACAGUGGUUCUCCCACACCUGGAGGCUAAUGAAUAAUGAACACCAUUAAAGCCUAUUUCAAAUGUAAAAAACCUUGGGGCUUGCUUGUGGGAAUACCUUCAGACCCAUUAUGCAAGUUACAGGAAAAAGGAUGGGAUAUCCAAAAAAGAGUCAAACCCAGGUUGUAACCAGGAUGUCUUUUUCAAUAUCUAUUUUAUUAUUGCCCUUUCCCACAUCAUAAAGUUCUAUUUUAUUUUUUGAGCUCAUACAGACCUAGGUUAAUGUUUUUCUGAUUAGUUCUAUUUUUUGACUGUGGAGUUUUUAAACAUUGCAAUGGAGAUUUCACCUGUGUCAAGCUACAAGGCCUUUACUAUUGUCUUAUGUGUUGUAUGUUAUGUGUGCACACUUGUGUUUUGUGUUGUAUGUCUGUAUGUGCAUAUGUCCAUAUAUCAUAUAUGAGGAGCGCUCAUGAAAAAAUGGAUCCAAAUAUUUUUAUUAUUCACGUGAUUUAAAUGGUAAACAGCUGUUGAGGAUUGUUUUAAUAUGUGAACAAAAAAGGAGGUUAACAGAUCUGUUUCUUUACUUUCACCUUUCCUUUUCAUUAUAUCUAAUUCUAUUCAGGAUACUAAAUUGUUUAGAAAAUUGCUUUCUUUUAGUGCCUCCUGGAAUGUUGCAUCAUUUUUUUUAGCCAUCAUUGCCAAAAUUGCUAUCUUCAUCCCAGUGCCGGUGAAGACAAAGAUAAAACCAAAUUACAGCUUCUGCGAAAGCUAUCACAACAAACUGUAUAAACUGAUGCAUCAAUGAAUAAUGUAACUCAACAAGUGAUGCUCAAUCAAGGAGUCGAUUUACUUUGGGAGGAAAUGAACAUAUUAAUGGCUCCCUCUGCUUUGAACCGCUAGCAGAACUUGCCUGGACUAUGUAUCACUUGUAUGCAUUGUGAACUAUUUGUUGGUGCAGCAAAUUGUGGUAGUGCUGGAGUAUCUUUGCUGGUGGUGUCAUCGGUGGUACAGUUUUUCCAAAGGAGCCAUCAAUGGGCUUGGUGUCGUGGCAUUUCUGUAUUCUCCUCCCUUCUGCUUGUGAUAGUUAUUCAGCUAAAAUUUGGGGGCCAAUAGAGGUGAGGCAAAGAACCUCAACCCCCACUAGUGCAAAGGCCAAAUUUGGGGGCCAACAAAGGUGAGGCAAAGAACCUCACCCCCACACUGGUGCAAAGGCCAAAUUUGGGGGCCAACAGAGGUGAGGCAAAGAACCUCACCCCCCCACACUGGUGCAAAGGCCAAAUUUGGGGGCCAACAGAGGUGAGGCAAAGAACCCACCACCCCCACUGGUGCAAAGGCCUAUCCACAGGUGUGGCUGUAUGCUGAACCAGUAGUCAUUGAUGGGUAUGAUCCAAUUGCAAUGGUACCAACCUAAGACAGGAGGCUGACGCCUUGAGGUCAGCUCAUCCGAUGACGGGUAAGGACCAUAUGUGGAAUUGGACAACCUAAGACAGGCAUGGUCCCCAAACCACAUGCUUGGUGUUUAAUUAAACAGAAGAGGGGAG
rnacentral:lncRNA from 1 species